rnacentral:lncRNA from 1 species
UAGAUUGUGAGACCAACUUGAAGAUAAACUUUUUUUAAGUACUCCAUUGUUGGGAACUGCUGGAUGAAGAAAAGAUAGGGGCAGAAACUGUGGUCUCCCUAUUGAAAGUUUUGGGGUCUAUAGUACUUUAAUUUUGCUGUUGUCAUAGCUUUGAUACACCAUAGAUUUUUGCUACAAUUCUGAUAUGUUAUCACAUGUUUGUUGUUGCAAUGGUGCUCC